rnacentral:rRNA from 1 species
CAUGGCAAACUGCUCAGUAACACAUGAUCAACUUGCCCUAUAGAGAAAAAUAAUCUCGGGAAACUGAGAAUAAUGUUUCAUAGUUGAAAAGGCUUGGAAAAGUUUUUCAAUAAAAUGGAUAAUGAGAAUGGUCUUUAUCUGCUAUAGGAUAGGAUCGUAUUCGAUUAUGGUUGUUGGUGAGGUAAUGGCUCACCAAGCCGAUAAUCGAUAGGGGCCGUGAGAGCGGAAGCCCCGAGAUGGGUACUGAGACAGCGACCCAGGCCUUACGAGGCGCAGCAGGCGCGAAACCUCCACAAUACACGAAAGUGUGAUGGGGUUACCCAAAGUGUUCUAUUAAGAACUGUGGUAGGUGAGUAAUGUUCCCUACUAGAAAGGAGAGGGCAAGGCUGGUGCCAGCCGCCGCGGUAAAACCAGCUCUUCAAGUGGUCGGGAUAAUUAUUGGGCUUAAAGUGUCCGUAGCCGGUUUAGUAAGUUCCUGGUAAAAUCGGGUAGCUUAACUAUCUGCAUGCUAGGAAUACUGCUAUACUAGAGGGCGGGGG